rnacentral:rRNA from 1 species
UACGUAGGGUGCGAGCGUUGUCCGGAAUUAUUGGGGCGUAAAGGGCUCGUAGGCGGUUUGUCGCGUCGGGAGUGAAAACUCAGGGCUUAACCCUGAGCCUGCUCCCGAUACGGGCAGACUAGAGGUAUGCAGGGGAGACGGAAUUCCUGGUGUAGCGGUGAAAAUGCGCAGAUAUCAGGAGGAACACCGGUGGCGAAGGCGGGUCUCUGGGCCGAUACUGACGCUGAGGAGCGAAAGCAUGGGGAGCGAACAGG